rnacentral:rRNA from 1 species
UUAGGAAUCUUGCGCAAUGGGCGAAAGCCUGACGCAGCAACGCCGCGUGAGGGAUGAAGGCUUUCGGGUUGUAAACCUCUUUCAGCAGGAACGAAAUUGACGGUACCUGCAGAAGAAGCUCCGGCCAACUACGUGCCAGCAGCCGCGGUAAUACGUAGGGAGCAAGCGUUGUCCGGAUUUAUUGGGCGUAAAGAGCUCGUAGGCGGCUUGGCAAGUCAGGGUGUGAAAACUCCAGGCUCAACCGUGGAGACG